AUCUACAGCCAUGCUACCCUGAACAAGCCUGAUCCCAUCUGAUCUUGGAAGCUAAGCAGGGUUGGGCCUGGUUAGUAUUUGGAUGGGAGACCACCUAGGAAGACCAGGUACUGUAGACC
rnacentral:rRNA from 1 species